rnacentral:rRNA from 1 species
CGAUAGCAGGGGGCACUGAUCAGCCCUGCCGCGUGAGUGAAGAAGGCCUUCGGGUUGUAAAGCUCUUUCGGACGGAAAGAAAUCGCAUGGGUUAAUACCCUGUGAUGGAUGACGGUACCCGAAUAAGAAGCACCGGCUAACUACCUGCCAGCAGCCGCGGUAAUACGUAGGGUGCGAGCGUUAAUCCGAAUUACUGGGCGUAAAGCGUGCGCAAGCCGUUUCGUAAAACCGAAGUGAAAUCCCCGGGCUCCACCUGGGAACUGCCUUUGUGACUGCUAAGAUUUAGUACGGCAAAAGGGGGUGGAAUUCCCCGUGGAGCAAUGAAAUGCGUAAAAAUUUGGAAGAACACCGAUGGCCAAAGCCGCCCCCUGGGCCGAUACUGACGCUCAAGCACGAAAGCGUGGGUAGCAAACAGGAUUAAAUACCCUGGUAGUCCACGCCCUAAACGAUGUCAACUAGGUGUUGGGUGGGUAAAACCAUUUAGUACCGUACCUAACGCGUGAAGUUGACCGCCUGGGGAGUACGGCCGCAAGGUUA